GUGUGUCUGUGAACUUUAUAAUGGCCAUCUACAGCUUUUUGGGCAUUGUUUUUCUAACUGCAGCAAUUAGAAAUGAUAUUUCUAAGGAAUGAGGUAACAAAUCAACAGAUAUCUCACAUUUUUCUGAAUACUCUGGAAGCCCCUGUUGUGGAUGGAAUUAUGAAUAGCUCCAUGUAUGCAAUAAAGUAGGAAUAAAUUCAAACAGAAUUUCUCUGUUUCAUUUUUUACACAAAAUCUGUGAUAUUGGCAGGAGUGUGUAGACUUUUAUGUCCAUUGUAUCCAUAUUCCACAAUCAAGUUUUCUUUUAUAAUCUCAGCAUUUGCAUGAGAAAUUGUGUAUGAACAUUUCAAGC